UACGGAGGGUGCAAGCGUUAUCCGGAAUCAUUGGGUUUAAAGGGUCCGCAGGCGGGCAUAUAAGUCAGUGGUGAAAGCCUACAGCUCAACCGUAGAACUGCCAUUGAUACUGUAAGUCUUGAAUUCGGUCGAAGUGGGCGGAAUGGGGACUGUAGCGGUGAAAUGCAUAGAUAUUACACAGAACACCGAUAGCGAAGGCAGCUCACUAGGCCUGGAUUGACGCGCAGGGACGAAAGCGUGGGGAUCAAACAGUAUUAGAUACCCUGGUAGUCCACGCUGUAAUCGAUGAUUACUCGUUUUCGGCGAUAUACAGUCGGAGUCUAAGCGAAAGUGAUAAGUAAUCCACCUGGGGAGUACGAUCGCAAGGCUG
rnacentral:rRNA from 1 species